GAGAUAUUAGCCAUUGGAAUUUUGGCGGGAAAAUGUUCUCUCUUAAUUUUUCAUAGCUUUAUCAUUGACCAGUUAAAGUUCUCAAAUACUAUUGAAAAAUAAAUAAAAUUUUAUAAGACUUUUACAAAUGACUUAUAAUAAUACAUGUAAAAGAUUUAUAAAAAGAAAAUGGGGGUUCAUGGGGAAAAUUUCUUAAGGCAUUCAAAUAGAUAAAACCAGAGGAUUCCGAAAAUC
rnacentral:lncRNA from 1 species